rnacentral:lncRNA from 1 species
UUAUUGGUUUUUAUCUUUGAUUGUUUUUACUUAAGCUAGUAUUAUUAUCUUUUGCAGUACCACUUCCAGGCCCUAGACCCUGUUUGUGCUGGAUGCUGCGUUAAGAAGUACGUAACAAACCCGAGUCCUUGACCUGAGGAAUCUCACUGCUCUGUCUUGUGGAAGGAUUUCUAAUGGAAGGCAACAUGAAUGAGGCAACAGAAUUUCAGUCAACGUGUAGAAGUACAUAUAUAUUUUUGUGGCGAGUUUAGAAUGAUGGCAGAAUGAAGCCUGUGUCUACAGUCUCACAACACAGAGAAAAUAAAUCCUGAUGAUGUUAAACUCUGACAAAACUCUGACAAUUUCACUUUUGCUAUGGGAACAUGAUGGCCUAUUUUCUGUUUUCUCCAGAAGCUUGUUGGAAUUUACCUUGGAAAUCGUGUGAGAGCUUCAGAGAGCCGGGUUUUCUUGGCAACACCAGCCGGUAGUCAUUUCUGAACAAACAAGAUUGAAAUUUAUGUCUCAGUGAAGCAAUACUGGAAGCCUGUUUGACGUGCUGCACAAAGACCAUUUCCAGCGCUCUCCAGCCAGAUGAAUUUCCUCCAUGUGCUGCAGCAUUGUUGCAACACCCUUUUCUCCCCUUUGGCUUCACGGAGACUGGGCUGCUGUGCUAGGGCUGACUGCUGUCACCGCUUUACCUUUCGAGACCUUGUGCCGCACCCCCACAUUAAAAGUGCUGAGACCUGACUGUCGCUUGUUCAAUGCAUUUCCAGAUGAAGUACCUCUACGUUCUCACUUCUGCUUCUUUCAUGUUUUGGAGAGGCUCCUUAGAAGCACCCCAAAAUAAAUCUAACUUUCUUCUUUGACUUGCACAAAAAGUCAACAGCAAUAGGUUUCUGGUUUCCUGACAUUACUUCUGUUUAUAGUGAUCAAUACUUGUUCAGUGUUUCCUUGCUAUUUUCAGUCUUGUUUAGAUUGUAAAUAAUUUGGAUCAGAGACCUGUCUUUUUAUU